UGGGGAAUAUUGCACAAUGGGCGCAAGCCUGAUGCAGCCAUGCCGCGUGUGUGAAGAAGGCCUUCGGGUUGUAAAGCACUUUCAGCGGGGAGGAAGGCGGUGAGGUUAAUAACCUCAUCGAUUGACGUUACCCGCAGAAGAAGCACCGGCUAACUCCGUGCCAGCAGCCGCGGUAAUACGGAGGGUGCAAGCGUUAAUCGGAAUUACUGGGCGUAAAGCGCACGCAGGCGGUCUGCCAAGUCGGAUGUGAAAUCCCCGGGCUCAACCUGGGAACUGCAUUCGAAACUGGCAGGCGAGAGUCAUGUAGAGGGGGGUAGAAUUCCAGGUGGAGCGGUGAAAUGCGUAGAGAUCUGGAGGAAUACCGGUGGCGAAGGCGGCCCCCUGGACAAAGACUGACGCUCAGGUGCGAAAGCGUGGGGAGCAAACAGG
rnacentral:rRNA from 1 species